AACUUAAAUGAAUUGACGGGGAGCACCACAACGGGUGGAGCUUGCGGUUUAAUUGGAUUCAACGCCGGAAAUCUUACCGGGACCGACAGCAAUAUGAAGGCCAGGCUGAAGACUUUACCGGAUUAGCUGAGAGGUGGUGCAUGGCCGUCGUCAGUUCGUACUGUGAAGCAUCCUGUUAAGUCAGGCAACGAGCGAGACCCACGCCCACAGUUGCCAGCGUACUCUCUGGAGUGACGGGUACACUGUGGGACCGCCGCUGCUAAAGCGGAGGAAGGAAUGGGCAACGGUAGGUCAGUAUGCCCCGAAUAUCCCGGGCUACACGCGAGCUACAAUGGUUGGUACAAUGGGUAUCUACCCCGAAAGGGGACGGGAAUCUCCUAAAACCAAUCUUAGUUCGGAUUGAGGGCUGCAACUCGCCCUCAUGAAGCUGGAAUCCGUAGUAAUCGCGUUUCAACAGAACGCGGUGAAUACGUCCCUGCUCCUU
rnacentral:rRNA from 1 species